rnacentral:misc_RNA from 1 species
ACACGAUGUUUAUUAUCGUUUUAUCUACAAUAAUACCCUUAAUAACAUUUAGGAUGGGCUUUUGAGUUAUGUUAUUUUUUUUUUAGAUCUUUUUUUUAAGACCCAAAAAAACAAAACAAAACACUUUACUAUUAAACAAUAACAAUACCAAAAUAAACAAACUAAAA